UUGAACGCUGGCGGCAGGCCUAACACAUGCAAGUCGAGCGGUAGCACAGAGAGCUUGCUCUCGGGUGACGAGCGGCGGACGGGUGAGUAAUGUCUGGGAAACUGCCUGAUGGAGGGGGAUAACUACUGGAAACGGUAGCUAAUACCGCAUAACGUCGCAAGACCAAAGUGGGGGACCUUCGGGCCUCAUGCCAUCAGAUGUGCCCAGAUGGGAUUAGCUAGUAGGUGGGGUAACGGCUCACCUAGGCGACGAUCCCUAGCUGGUCUGAGAGGAUGACCAGCCACACUGGAACUGAGACACGGUCCAGACUCCUACGGGAGGCAGCAGUGGGGAAUAUUGCACAAUGGGCGCAAGCCUGAUGCAGCCAUGCCGCGUGUGUGAAGAAGGCCUUCGGGUUGUAAAGCACUUUCAGCGGGGAGGAAGGCGGUGAGGUUAAUAACCUCACCGAUUGACGUUACCCGCAGAAGAAGCACCGGCUAACUCCGUGCCAGCAGCCGCGGUAAUACGGAGGGUGCAAGCGUUAAUCGGAAUUACUGGGCGUAAAGCGCACGCAGGCGGUCUGUCAAGUCGGAUGUGAAAUCCCCGGGCUCAACCUGGGAACUGCAUUCGAAACUGGCAGGCUAGAGUCUUGUAGAGGGGGGUAGAAUUCCAGGUGUAGCGGUGAAAUGCGUCGAGAUCUGGAGGAAUACCGGUGGCGAAGGCGGCCCCCUGGACAAAGACUGACGCUCAGGUGCGAAAGCGUGGGGAGCAAACAGGAUUAGAUACCCUGGUAGUCCACGCCGUAAACGAUGUCGAUUUGGAGGUUGUGCCCUUGAGGCGUGGCUUCCGGAGCUAACGCGUUAAAUCGACCGCCUGGGGAGUACGGCCGCAAGGUUAAAACUCAAAUGAAUUGACGGGGGCCCGCACAAGCGGUGGAGCAUGUGGUUUAAUUCGAUGCAACGCGAAGAACCUUACCUGGUCUUGACAUCCACAGAACUUUCCAGAGAUGGAUUGGUGCCUUCGGGAACUGUGAGACAGGUGCUGCAUGGCUGUCGUCAGCUCGUGUUGUGAAAUGUUGGGUUAAGUCCCGCAACGAGCGCAACCCUUAUCCUUUGUUGCCAGCGGUUAGGCCGGGAACUCAAAGGAGACUGCCAGUGAUAAACUGGAGGAAGGUGGGGAUGACGUCAAGUCAUCAUGGCCCUUACGACCAGGGCUACACACGUGCUACAAUGGCAUAUACAAAGAGAAGCGACCUCGCGAGAGCAAGCGGACCUCAUAAAGUAUGUCGUAGUCCGGAUUGGAGUCUGCAACUCGACUCCAUGAAGUCGGAAUCGCUAGUAAUCGUAGAUCAGAAUGCUACGGUGAAUACGUUCCCGGGCCUUGUACACACCGCCCGUCACACCAUGGGAGUGGGUUGCAAAAGAAGUAGGUAGCUUAACCUUCGGGAGGGCGCUUACCACUUUGUGAUUCAUGACUGGGGUG
rnacentral:rRNA from 1 species